AUUAACUAUAAUUUUUAAAGUUUAAUUCACACGAAUUAACUUGUGCGAGGUACUUGUUUAUUUUUAGUUAUAUAAAGUAAUUGUUGUAAAAAUUUCUGAAAAAUAGUACCUAGGGGUGAAAGGCCAUCAAAAGUUAGGAUAUCUUGAUUCUUUUAAAGGUAUUAAGUACAAAGACAUACAAGGAGUGACUAGAUUUCUUGUAACCACGAAUUUUAAUUAGCAAAAAUUUUGGUAUAACAACCUUAAAUUUAGUAAAUCUAUUAUUAUUCAUUAAAAAUUUGUGUAAUCUAUAAAGAUACUCGUUAACAUUUUAAGUGUAGAUAAUGUUUUUAUUAGUAUGUUCAAAAGAUACAUUAAAUGAACUCGGCAAUAAUCCUCUCAGCUGUUUAUCAAAAACAUAACUAUAUGGGGAUAUAUAUAGCAAUUCUGCAC
rnacentral:rRNA from 1 species